CUGCGCAACGGCCCGCGCCCGCUGUUGCCUUGCCAGCCGCUGUCAACUUCACCGCGCCCGCUGAUGCCCCGCCAGUCGCUGUCAACUUCACCGCGCCCGCUGAUGCCCCGCCAGCCGCUGUCAACUUCACCGCGCCCAACUGCACGAUUUUGCACCCUGGCAGUGACCACAGCCACAACUGUUGACGUGUGCUGAAGGAGAUGUCCACCAGCAAUCCAAAUGGGCAGAAUUCGCACUGUGAUUCAGGGAGCAGUUCUUCAGCUAUUGGAUGGAAAACCCAUGCAAUGAUGCUGCCUGAUCUGUUGAACACUUACAGCAUUUCUCUUCAGAAUUCUCAUCAAUCAGAUUUUAUUUAAUUCUAUGUAAAUGGCUGGAUGAACUAAAAAAUUGUCCUUGGAACUUGCUGGUAAAAUGAGGUGAAAUACAUAUUGCAUGUUAAAUAUCAGGCAAUCUUCCAAUGUGAAAGAUGGAAGAGUAGUAAAGGUUGGAGGUAGUAAUCAACAAGGUUAUUUUCACAUUAGAGAGUCUCACUCAAAAUUAUUAAGUAAGGAGAAAAGAAUAUUGUUUAAUUGAGCACUACAUUUAUUUAUGUUUUGCUUUACUGCAGCUGGAAGAUUUAGGAUUACUAAUUACAUUGUUGUGAGCUGUGGGAAAGCUGUGCUUUGAACUGUUUUUAAAAGUUCUUACAAAGUAAAAAUAGUUUAGUAAUUAGACAUAGUGUGAUCUAUAUAAAACGUUAAAGCUACAUUUCAGGAAAACAUCACAGUUAAAUGGUAUAAUUGUAAUGCAAUGAAAUUUGCCUAAGGUGGUGGUGAUGGAUGGAUAAUAGUAAAUGAUCAGCUUGCUUUACACUUGGUUUUUCUUUGCUUUUGAUUUCAUUGGGUGCAGCAUCAUGAAUCAGCAGGUUACUCCAUAAUUCACAUUUUACUUUAGAACUUAAGACU